rnacentral:rRNA from 1 species
UACGGGGGGGCGAAGCGUUGUUCGGAAUUACUGGGCGUAAAGGGCGCGUAGGCGGCUCCGAUCGUCGGAUGUGAAAGGCCUGGGCUCAACCUGGGAAUGGCAUCCGAUACGGCGGGGCUGGAGUGUGGGAGAGGUUGGUGGAAUUCCCAGUGUAGAGGUGAAAUUCGUAGAUAUUGGGAAGAACACCGGUGGCGAAGGCGGCCAACUGGACCACAACUGACGCUGAGGCGCGAAAGCGUGGGGAGCAAACAGG